AUGGACGCCCUGCAGGCACAACGCGCUGGAGCAGGCGGCGUCGGGGAAGGGGACGCCGAGGAGAGGUACCGCGCUCUCGCCUUUGACACGGCUGUGAGCACCCUGGUGGCCGUGGCCGUGUACGCGGUGGUGAAAGUGAGCCUGGACGGCUUCAGACAGUGGCGGGCCAGGAUCUCGGUGCUCGUCGUGGGUUCGGGACCCGUGGGGCUGACGGCCGCGCUGGUCGCUGUCCGCUCCGGUAAGGUGCUGAAACUGACCGUGCUGGACGAGAGGUACCGCGCGGCGCUGCUCUGCCGGCCACAGCAGAUCGCCUUGGAUCCCCGCAGCGUGAAGUUUCUGCUGGGACUCGGGGUGGACUUUGAUAACAUGGAGGGCUGUUGGCACAACGAGCAUUUCUUCACCCGGAUAGGCGUGUUUCAGGAGUACCUGCUGAGCAUCCUAGAGCAGAAGAAACUGAAGGUGGACGUCAAGGUGCAGCUGGGAACCAAGUUCUCCGAGGAAUACCUGCGGCGGAUUCAGCGGAACGAGUGGCCUCGUGUGAUUGUGGUGGCCGACGGGUCGUGUGGCGACUCCUGCUCCGUGCUGGGCAUUAGCUCCGACUACACCGUGGAGUCCUGCCAUGCCUACGGAGCUAAUGCCACCAUAGAGAGACUAGAUCAGAGACAGGUUCCCACUCCUGAGAUCCGUACCCCCAGCCUCUACUUCGACCUGUCCGCCUAUGGCGUGGAGGCCCUCCGAGAGCCCAGAAAUCCCGCCGCCAAACCUGGCUUCCACCUAAAGAUCUAUGGCACCUUCAGGAACCGCUACAUGGCCCUCGCCUGCCCGGCCUCUGACACCAAGAUGGUCCGCUUCCUCCGGCACACGGCCAACUCCUCUAUCAUGAAGAAUAUUUUCCACCAGUCCUUCAAUGUUUAUAAGACGGACAUCGAGCCUCGUCUCAACGACGUGACGCUGCACCGCAUGCAGUGCAGCCGGCGUCUCUUUGAGAUUCAGUUAUCACACAGACGCAUCAGCGCUGCCUUCAUAGAGGGGGACAAUGUGGCCGUCACCGUGGAGGGGGAGGCGGCGCGCGUCCUCAACUUUGACACAGGUUGCGGAGUGAAUCUGGGUAUGCAAGGACUGGAGUCAAUGGGGACGUUCAUUUACCAGACAGCCACAGCUGUGGACCAGAACGAUGUUCUAGAGGCACUGUCUGCUAAAAUGCAACACUCCAGACAGGUGGCCGAGAGCUUCAAGCAGACAGGCCUGGCUCAAUCAAUUUAUGAAUGA
ensembl:lncRNA